rnacentral:lncRNA from 1 species
AUGUAUAUCGUCGCUGUUAUGCAAAAACCUCGUAUCUCAAUUUUUUGCGGAAAUCUUUUUAUCGAUUAUUUAAGAUUAGAUAGGUAUGAUCCACUGUAUGCGAAAAUAUCUGAUCUUCUAACCAAUCAUUUACUCGAAUUCUGACACGAGACGAAAAAGUGUAGUCGGAUCGGUGAGACAUUUUGUUGUGCGAAAAUAUCGUAUCUCAAAAGAAAACACAUGGCACGGCAGAUUAUAUUAUAACAGGUACAGUUUUAUCAAUUUCAGGUUUUCAAAGCUAAUAUAGCUUAAAAAUAAUGAAAAGCUUUGAAAAAACAAUAUAGGUGCAGAAAUAUUUGCUCGUCUUGGUAAUUGAUUGGUUAGAAGAUCAGAUAUUUUGGCAUACAGUUGAACAUACAUAUUUAAUUCAAAUAUCGAUUAAAGAUUUCAGUUUUUAAUGCCUGGUGAAAAAUUAUCAAAACCUUAGAUACGUGGUUUCUGCAUAACAGCGACGAUAUAAGUGUCGUACCUAUCAUGUGGUCAGUUUCCCGCCGAAACGGGGUGAAACGUGGGUUUCGGUCAUUCAGCACGACAGCGCCAAAGUGAUCGGUCCUUCUUUAAACGCUUGGUAAAUUUUGAUUUAUUCCCGUAGUCCCCCC